GAUGAACGCUGGCGGCGUGCCUAACACAUGCAAGUCGAACGGAAAGACCCUGAGUUUGUGGGGUGCCCGAGGGCGGAAGGGGUGAGUAACACGUGUGUAUCCUGCCCUUGUCUUUGGGAGAACAUCAGGGAACUGGGGCUAAUAUAGGAUAGGAUAUCCUGCUCCAUGGUGGGCGUUGGAAAGUUUCGGCGGUUGGGGAUGGACUCGCGGCUUAUUAGCUAGUUGGUGGGGUAGUGGCCUACCAAGGCUACCAAGGGUACACGGCCUGAGAGGGUGAUAGGCGACACUGGAACUGGGCCACGGUCAAGACUCCUACGGGAGGCCGCAGUAGGGAAUGUGAGGCAACGGGCGAAAGCCUUACGCAGCGAGGCCGCGUGUGUGACGAAGGCCUUGGGUUCGGAAAGACGUCUUUUUGGUGAAGAACAGCUGUCGCCUGAGACGAAGCGUGAGUGACGGUACUGAAUAAAGAAGCACCGGCUAACUACGUG
rnacentral:rRNA from 1 species